rnacentral:rRNA from 1 species
CCUACGGGAGGCAGCAGUGGGGGAUAUUGCACAAUGGAGGAAACUCUGAUGCAGCGACGCCGCGUGAGGGAAGACGGUCUUCGGAUUGUAAACCUCUGUCUUUGGGGAAGAAAAUGACGGUACCCAAAGAGGAAGCUCCGGCUGACUACGUCCCAGCAGCCGCGGUAAUACGUCGGGAGCGAGCGUUGUCCGGAAUUACUGGGGGUAAAGGGAGCGUAGGCGGGCGAGAAAGUUGAGUGGUAAAUCUACCGGCUUAAGUGGUAGCUGCGUUCAAAACCUCUUGUCUGGAGUGAAGUAGAGGAUAGUGGAAUUCCAAGUGUAGCAGUGAAAUGCGUAGAUAUUAGGAGGAACACCAGUGGCGAAGGCGACUAGCUGGGCUUUAACUGACGCUGAGGCUCGAAAGCGUGGGGAGCAAACAGGAUUAGAUACCCGAGUAGUC